rnacentral:rRNA from 1 species
UAGAGAUGUGUGAUGACGCAUAUCAAUAAGCGGAGGAAAAGAAACUAACAAGGAUUCCCUUAGUAACGGCGAGUGAAGCGGGAAGAGCUCAAAUUUGAAAUCUUCAAGGUUUUACCUUGACGAAUUGUAGUUUAAAGAAGUGUUUUCUGUUGGAGUUUUGGUAAAAGUUCUUUGGAAUAGGACAUCAUAGAGGGUGAGAAUCCCGUAUUUGACCAUUACUUUCCAGCUGUGUGAUACACUUUCAAAGAGUCGGAUUGUUUGGGAAUGCAGUCCAAAAUGGGUGGUAAAUUUCAUCUAAAGCUAAAUAUUGGCGAGAGACCGAUAGCGAACAAGUACCGUGAGGGAAAGAUGAAAAGAACUUUGAAAAGAGAGUUAAACAGUACGUGAAAUUGUCAAAAGGGAAGCGUUUGACACCAGUGUUGUUUUUUCCGAAAAUCAAUUACGAAUGUUUUAUUUUUGAGGAAGUUAUGACUUCAUCGGCUUGCUUCCUCUCUUUAUGAAACUUUCUUAAUGCACUUUUCGGUUAACAAGUCUAACAUCAAUUUCUUUUGUUGUAAAAGGGUAUGAGGAAGGUGGCUUUCUUUUCGGAGAAAGUGUUUAUAGCCUUGUACCUCUGCAAUCGGAGAGAUUGAGGUCUGCAGCGUAGAUCCUUCGGGGUUAGAUACAUUUGUGCUAAGUUAUAGCUUUUCAUAGACAACUUGUUGACUAUGUUAAGUCUUGUAGCUUACUCGCUUAUGCUAUUUUACCUACGCUUAGGAUUUGACAGCAGUAUAGACUGU